rfam:Alistipes sp. CHKCI003 isolate CHKC3 genome assembly, contig: {contig94}
ACAAUGGAGAGUUUGAUCCUGGCUCAGGAUGAACGCUAGCGGCAGGCUUAACACAUGCAAGUCGAGGGGCAUCAUUGGAGUAGCAAUACUUCAGAUGGCGACCGGCGCACGGGUGCGUAAC